GUGCUCACUUUGGCUGCACGUAUGCUAAAAAUGGAAUGGUAAAGAGAUUAGCAUGGCCCUGGGCAAGAAUAACAUACAAAUUUGUGAAGAAUUCAAAAAUUUU